ACAACCUAAAACGUCUUCCUUUUGGAGAUUGCUUUGCUUCCGAGACUAACGAAAUCGAGAGAGAUGAGAUCCUGAUUUAAGUAUGGAAGGAUUCUGAGAAGGUGAUUCUAUUCUGUAUUUUCAGAUUUAAUUUAUUUAUUUUUAAUUUAUAUUGAUAUUGAUUAUCAGAAGAAUCCAUGUUCAAGUGGGAUCCGCAUAUAUUAAUGAAUUCGGAGAUUUGAUUAUAUUUAGCGAUGCAGAAGUUUGUUUUUGUUGUAGUAAAACUCAAAACUUUUCAGAGGAAGGUUUCCCAAACCAGAUCUCAUUCUAAAAACAGAUCCUUUUUCUCUAUUUUUACAUGUACAAGAGGCAUCAACAGUAGGUUGCAUUAAAACUCAAAACUUUUCAGAAGAAGGUUUCCUCUACCUAUAAGAGGCGUCAACAAUGGUGUGAGGAUCUUCCGAAAGAUUUGAGAUUGGAGAUCUUUUCUCGGCUUCCUCCAGAGCCUCUUUUGAAGUGCAAACUUGUAUGCAAAACAUGGGAAAGUAUCCUCUCUCACAAAAAAGUGGGUAUUCUGUUCUUGUUUCGAUCUGGAUGGGAAAGAAACCUUCAUCUUUACUAUGGAGAUUAUGAAGAGAUUUUUAGUAAGAUUAAUUCUGAAAAGGAGGACUGCUCAUUCAAAACUCUUACAAAGAUUAAUCAUCCUGGCAUUAACCUCCGAGAUCGCCAUUCAUUCGUGGAUCAAAUGGUUGGUUCCUGCAAUGGUUUGGUUUGUUUUCGCGUACCCCAUCACCAAGUCAAUGAUCCCGUCUACAUCUGCAAUCCCAUCACUAGGGAAUACAUUAACCUUCCCCGCCUGAAAUACAAAAAGGGUUGUCAGUGGAUUUGGCUAUCAACCUUGAAGUAACGAGUACAAGGUCAUUCGCAUCCAUUACCGGGACAGAAAUGAGUAUUAUUUGCCAGUCACCAAAGGAUUUGUUGAGAUAUACACACUUGGGAAGGACGCUGGGUGGAGAAGUCUCGGAGAAGUUACCUACUCGUUGCAUAAAAGAGGUGUUCUUGCAAAUGGAUCAAUAUACUGGGCUGGCUGGAUUACGAUAAAAACAAAAUUGUGGCUUUUGAUUUGACAGAUGAAAAGUUCCAAUGGCUCCCAGCUAUGCCACCAUGUUUUGUUGGAAGUGAGCAUGCCGACUACCAAAUCAAGGUGUUGGGAGGGGAUUUAUGUCUGGUUCAUUUAGUCAAUGGCCAAUUGGACAUAUGGUCAUAUAAAAUUAAGCAGAAGGAAACGGAUGAUAAAGAAGAAGGGAAUCGAUCCUGGAGUUGGAAUCUGGAGUUUCAUAUGCCAUGCUCAAUUAUGAACGGCAACAACUACUAUGAACCUUUCGCGCUCACAAAGAACAAUGACGUUUUAAUGUGGAAUGGAAGAAGCCUCUCUUGUUAUGACAGGAAAACUGAAACUAUAAAUGACAUGCUGGAUGAAGAAGUGAACGACUUGCGCAAUUUUCAAGGAAUCCCACAUAUGAACAACCCUCUUUCAAUGAAAUCCCUAGGUGGAAAGGUAAAGACUAGAAAAGACGCUAACAAGAAAAAGAAAAGGGAAAAAAACGGUUCAGUCUAAAACCCCACUAAAUACCCCACUAAAUAGAACAGUUUAGUCCAGACCUAGUUGACUAGGUACAGUUAAAUCCAAAAAUUGUGUAAAGACGCUGCUGACCUCCACACGUGUUUCAUAAAGCACACGUGCAGCGAGUUGGGACGGUUUUGUAACUGACGCAUUCAACCUGGGAAUGACACGUCAGCAAUUUUAAAUAAUAUAAAAAAUAAUUAAAAACAAUUUAUCUUUUAAA